GCAGCCGCGGUAAUACGUAGGUGGCAAGCGUUGUCCGGAUUUACUGGGUGUAAAGGGCGUGUAGGCGGAGCAGCAAGUCAGAAGUGAAAUCUAGGGGCUCAACCCCUAAACUGCUUUUGAAACUGUUGCCCUUGAGUAUCGGAGAGGCAGGCGGAAUUCCUAGUGUAGCGGUGAAAUGCGUAGAUAUUAGGAGGAACACCAGUGGCGAAGGCGGCCUGCUGGACGACAACUGACGCUGAGGCGCGAAAGCGUGGGGAGCAAACAGGAUUAGAUACCCC
rnacentral:rRNA from 1 species